CUUUGCUUUUUCGUUAUGCUAAUGUACUUUGAAGCCCAAUUUCGUUUACAGUAGGAUUUUUUGCUCUUUCUCCUUACCCUGGGAAAUAGAGGGUGACUCUCAUUAAGUGAGCUAGAUGACUCUCGAACCAUAUGGUGGUUUGCGAGUAUAUUACUGUACUGUUAGGAUGUGUUUCCCUCAACCCAUCAUCUUUUCCUGCCGCUUUUUGUGGCCACCGAAGCGGUGGUCUGUGGAUAAAGGAAGGGCAUCUCAGGUUACUAUCAUUUUAGGUGACUAACUUCUAUUUGUCUCGGUUGCUUUGUAAUCUGAUUUACUUUACUUGUUUACAUUGUCUGAUUAUUUCAGUGUUUUCGGCUGUGUUCUAUUGAAUGGAAUCUUAUCAUCAAUCAAGUAAAAGAAAAAAAGGAGGUUUUGCCUUU
rnacentral:lncRNA from 1 species